UCCAACACUCUCCGCCGUCGCUCCUCACCACAGACCGCAACUCCGCCGUCGCUCCUCACCACAGACCGCAACUCCGCCGUCGACACCGCCUCUCUCACCACGAUUCCCUCAGCCCCGAUCAAACGCCGCUGCCGACACCAAGCUAAGGAUUCAAGCGCCACUCUCAUCAGCCACCCAUGACGCCCCUCUUCUUCUCAUUAGCUACCGGUGACUAGACCCAGCUGAAAACGACGCCUCCAAGUACUGUCGACGACGCCUGCCACGUACUGUCGACGACGCCUGCCACUGACGUCGCCACCGCCACUGUGGUUCUCAGCCGCCGCUGCCGGUUCCACUAUUGCUAAUACGAUAAGUUUUUUAGUAUAUAAACUACAAUUAGCUCUGUUUAGACAGAGAUUGCUGAUAUCUGUUUUCAUUUUGAGCAGAUGAUAGCUGUUUCGGACUAGGUUUCAACCUGGGAAUUGAAGUAACUUGUGGAACUUAAUCUUGGUGUGAGAAAGAUGAACCAUACUAGUCAGGGUCAACAAUAGCCUGAAGGAAGACACGAUGAUGAUACUGCCAUCGCUGACUUCCUCACUUCAUUGAUGGAUUAUACUCCCACAAUUCCUGAUGAAUUAGUGGAGCAUUACUUGGCUAAAAGCGGGUUCCAAUGUCCUGAUGUUCGAUUAUAGGUACUUUGGUGGAUUCUAAGAUUUGCCAUCCUACAGAAUUCGAUUUUUAUUUAUGCAGUCAUGCUGGAAUUCAGGUAAGUGCUUCAAAAUGCAGGUACUGUGGUAGAACUGUGUUUUUGCUGCUGUAUUUUAUUCAUGCAAAGCUGCAUUAUAAUAUGGUAUCUCACGAGCAUUUGUGUUUAUAUGGCUAACGUAUUAUUACUCUUGAUGAAAUUGAUUACUUAUAAAAUGACAGCAAAGGAAGAAACAUUGAGAAAUGCUUUAGUGGUGUUGUGUAUUUACUUAUUUAGAAGCAGAAAAGCAAGCGCCCAGAAUUCUCCAUUCUUGCUUCUUACAACAGAUGUUGAUACCUUCGAAUAGAACCCUUGAACAGAAGGCAUAGAAAGAGGCCAGUAAGGAUCAACUUCCUCAAUCAGACAUAAUCAGGCCAGUAUUUGAAGGAAAUUCGUACUCUUACCAAUGAGAAAUAGAUGAGAUUCGAGACUUAUGAGCAAAAUAUUUUUUGGAAGAGUAUGUGUAACUUUUGUUUUAGAUUAUAUGUUAUAUUGCAUUGAUAUAAAGUAUUGUAUUGAUAGUA